GUGCUUGCUUUGGCAACACAUAUAAUAAAAUUGGAAUAUACAGAGACUAGCAUGGCCCCUGUGCAUGGAUGAUAUGCAAAUUUGUGAAGCAUUCCCCAAUUUU
rnacentral:snRNA from 1 species